rnacentral:rRNA from 1 species
AUUGAACGCUGGCGGCCGGCCUAACACAUGCACGUCGAACGAGUGGCGGACGGUUGAGUCAUGUCUGGGAAACUGCCCGAUGGAGGGGGAUAACUACUGGAAACGGUAGCUAAUACCGCCUACCAUCGGAUGUGCCCAGAUGGGCUUAGCUAGUAGGUGGGGUAAAGGGUCACCUAGUCGACGAUCCCUAGCUGGUCUGAGAGGAUGACCAGCCACACUGGAAGUGAGAAACGGUCCAGACUACUACGGGAGGCAGCAGUGGGGAAGAUUGCACAAUGGGCGCAAGCCUGAUGCAGCCAUGCCGCGUGUAUGAAGAAGGCCUUCGGGUUGUAAAGUACUUUCAGCGGGGAGGCGUUACCCGCAGAAGAAGCACCGGCUAACUCCGUGCCAGCAGCCGCGGUAAUUC